UUGUGAGGUUAAGCGACUAAGCGUACACGGUGGAUGCCCUGGCAGUCAGAGGCGAUGAAGGACGUGCUAAUCUGCGAUAAGCGUCGGUGAGGUGAUAUGAACCGUUAUAACCGGCGAUUUCCGAAUGGGGAAACCCAGUGUGUUUCGACACACUAUCAUUAACUGAAUCCAUAGGUUAAUGAGGCGAACCGGGGGAACUGAAACAUCUAAGUACCCCGAGGAAAAGAAAUCAACCGAGAUUCCCCCAGUAGCGGCGAGCGAACGGGGAGGAGCCCAGAGCCUGAAUCAGUGUGUGUGUUAGUGGAAGCGUCUGGAAAGGCGCGCGAUACAGGGUGACAGCCCCGUACACAAAAAUGCACAUAUUGUGAGCUCGAUGAGUAGGGCGGGACACGUGGUAUCCUGUCUGAAUAUGGGGGGACCAUCCUCCAAGGCUAAAUACUCCUGACUGACCGAUAGUGAACCAGUACCGUGAGGGAAAGGCGAAAAGAACCCCGGCGAGGGGAGUGAAAAAGAACCUGAAACCGUGUACGUACAAGCAGUGGGAGCCUCUUAAUGGGGUGACUGCGUACCUUUUGUAUAAUGGGUCAGCGACUUAUAUUCUGUAGCAAGGUUAACCGAAUAGGGGAGCCGAAGGGAAACCGAGUCUUAACUGGGCGUUAAGUUGCAGGGUAUAGACCCGAAACCCGGUGAUCUAGCCAUGGGCAGGUUGAAGGUUGGGUAACACUAACUGGAGGACCGAACCGACUAAUGUUGAAAAAUUAGCGGAUGACUUGUGGCUGGGGGUGAAAGGCCAAUCAAACCGGGAGAUAGCUGGUUCUCCCCGAAAGCUAUUUAGGUAGCGCCUCGUGAAUUCAUCUCCGGGGGUAGAGCACUGUUUCGGCAAGGGGGUCAUCCCGACUUACCAACCCGAUGCAAACUGCGAAUACCGGAGAAUGUUAUCACGGGAGACACACGGCGGGUGCUAACGUCCGUCGUGAAGAGGGAAACAACCCAGACCGCCAGCUAAGGUCCCAAAGUCAUGGUUAAGUGGGAAACGAUGUGGGAAGGCCCAGACAGCCAGGAUGUUGGCUUAGAAGCAGCCAUCAUUUAAAGAAAGCGUAAUAGCUCACUGGUCGAGUCGGCCUGCGCGGAAGAUGUAACGGGGCUAAACCAUGCACCGAAGCUGCGGCAGCGACGCUUAUGCGUUGUUGGGUAGGGGAGCGUUCUGUAAGCCUGUGAAGGUGUGCUGUGAGGCAUGCUGGAGGUAUCAGAAGUGCGAAUGCUGACAUAAGUAACGAUAAAGCGGGUGAAAAGCCCGCUCGCCGGAAGACCAAGGGUUCCUGUCCAACGUUAAUCGGGGCAGGGUGAGUCGACCCC
rnacentral:rRNA from 1 species